rnacentral:rRNA from 1 species
UCGGGAAUAUUGCGCAAUGGAGGAAACUCUGACGCAGUGACGCCGCGUGCAGGAAGAAGGUUUUCGGAUUGUAAACUGCUUUAGACAGGGAAGAAACAAGACAGUACCUGUAGAAUAAGCUCCGGCUAACUACGUGCCAGCAGCCGCGGUAAUACGUAGGGAGCAAGCGUUAUCCGGAUUUAUUGGGUGUAAAUGGGUGCGUAGACGGGAAUGCAAGUUGGUUGUGAAAUCCCUCGGCUCAACCGAGGAAUUGCAACCAAAACUAUAUUUCUUGAGUGCUGGAGAGGAAAGUGGAAUUCCUAGUGUAGCGGUGAAAUGCGUAGAUAUUAGGAGGAACACCAGUGGCGAAGGCGACUUUCUGGACAGUAACUGACGUUGAGGCACGAAAGUGUGGGGAGCAAACAGGAUUAGAUACCC